GGCUCCUCCCCGCCGCGACGUCCGCGCCGCCGCCGCCGCCGCUGCUCCCCCCCCGCUUCCGAACGGGGCUGCGGAACGGCGCCGGGAUCCAACGGGACCCACCGGGAGUGCCGGGAUCCAACCGGCCGGCUGGCACCACCGGGACAAGAGGGACCCGCUGGGACAACCACCACCCUACCCCCCCACCCUGGGCAACCAGGACAGCCGGGACCCAACGGGACAACCGGGACCCAAUGGGUCAACCGCCCCCCCACCUCCCACCCUGGGUAACCAGGACAACCGGGACCCAACAGGACAACCAGGACCCCACGGGACAACUGGGACAGCCAGGACCUCAAAGGGCAACCUGGACAAUCAACAUGCAUUGGGACAGCCGGUACCUACUGGGACAACCAGGACUAAGUGGGACAGCUAUCAUCUACUGGGACAGCUGGGACUAAACAGGAUAACCUGGUACCAACCAAGACAACCAGAACCUACUGGGGCAAAUGUGGCUAUCAGGACCCCAUAGGACAACUGGGACUCAAUGGAGCAACCAGCCUCCAUCCGGGGCUGUCAAGACAACUGGGACAACCAGUACCCAACAGGACAACCGGGGCCUUUGGGAUCACUGAGACGCCCAGAAUCAGCACCAGGAUCAGCACCGGGACGCCAUCGCUCCUGGGAUCACCAGGAACUCCAGGAUCACCACUGGGACACUUGAGAUCAGUGGGAGCCCCGGGAUCAGCUCCGAGACCCCAGGGAUUAGUACUGGGACCCAUAGGAUCAACGGGACCCCUGGGAUCAGCACCAGGACACUGUCACCCCUGGGACAACCAGCAACCCCAUGAUCACCCCCUGGACAACCGAGACCUUUGGGAUCACCAAAAGUGCCAGGAUCACCCCCUGACCCCAAAACAACUGGCAACCCCCGGAUCCCCACAUCCUCCUGGGAUCAGUGCAGGGAUCACUCACACCCAAGGAUACGGGACACAAGCACCCCUGGGACAACCAGCCCCCCAGGAUCACUGGGACCCCCAGAAUCACUCUGCAGGAUCUCCGGGGAUCCAUCACACCCAUGGACAUUGUGGCACCACAGAACACAGCACUCCGGCACACAAACACCCCAAGAUGGCUAAAAGCUGCUCUUGCCCCUUUCAAAGAUUAUUUUCUUUCUCCCUGGGGGAGAACUCAUUUCCUUGCGAAAUUCUGCCUGGGCUGAACUUCCAGCUGCUUUAUAAGCCUCUGCAAAUUGAUUAUUACAAAGAAAAGGCUGAUGUACACACACUGUUAUCACCAGCCCUUGGGCUGAGCAGGCGAUAUUACAGCAACAAAGUAAACUGCAAGGAAUUAAAGCCAAGCAAACAGCUUGGAUUAAUUAAUCUUCCCAGCAUUUCAGGUGAAAACCCCCAGCUCAGGAUGCUGUAACCCGUGGUGGAUGGAGCAGCCCAAAAAGCUGCAGCAAGGAGCUGGUAGAAGGAAGAAGAGUUACAGCGAUGGGCUCUGCGGCGCACUGCAGCAGAGAUGUCCCACAUCCAGGUCAUCCAUGCAAACCAGAGCAGAAUGAGACAGAAUCCGGCCCAGCGGGCAGCAUCACCUCCUGCAUCCGCUCGAACCUGUCCUGCUCAUCUUCCUCCUGCCAGCAGAAAGACAGAGCCACGUGAAAACCACACACUGUGGCGGAUUCCAUUUGUUGCAUUGAACGCUGGUUCUCAGAAGCCUCAGGACAUGGGCUGGGAGUGGUAGGUGCCCCCUUUCCCUUCCUUAGCUGAACAGAUCUGGGCAGGACUUCAGGCAAAGGCCAUCUGCGAGCAUAGAACCUUGGAGGGAGUUCCCUCAGCUGUCUUCUCCAGCUGUAUCUACCCAUGGGACUGUCUCCACUGCAGGGUAAUCUCCCAGCAGGAAGAACAUCUGAGCUGCAAGUUCUGCCCCAUGCCUACAUCUCUCCAGGCAACGUCUUGGAUGGCGUGAGCACAGCAAGGAAGAGCGUGGGUGGAAUAGAAGCAUAACUUUUUAGAAUUAUAGAAUUGUGGAAUCAGGUAUCAGCCAGUGCAUAAUGUGUCCAUGUUUGAGGAGCACCCUGGCAGAUUCUUUGGGCACCUUCUGAUCGUGAGCAGCUUGCAGAAGGUAACGGUGACUGGUUACCUUACAAAAAGGUAAAUGGCCAAACUGACUCAAACCAGGAGGAAAAGGUGCAUACCCUGAUGAGAGCAAUCAGUCUGGAAAAGGAAAAAAAAAUGGUUGAAAGGAGGAAAGAAACCUCUACAGGAAUACCAGCACUGCCAAUGGCACUAACUGGGAACCUCAGUGACCUGCCCAGGGAAAGCAGAAAGAGAAACCAGCACUGAACAGCGUUCCAAGGGACGUUGCUUAACUUCUGCGUGAAGAUUUCUGCCUGUGACAUCAUCAACUUGACACAGCUGCAAAACAUUGCUAAAAGGCAUGCUUCAUUCAUCUUUUGGGUUUUAAUUGAUGUGAUGACAGCAAAUCCAGGGCUGGAAAGUAUUAAGGGAGUUUCUGUGAAUACACUGAGUAACCCUGGUUAGUAAAAGUGACUGGUGAUGGAUUUCCUCUUUUCCCCAAAGAGUGGCACCCUGGGGCAGCGUAGUCAGUCUCCCUGCUGACCUCAAUAGGCACAGCACAUCAUCCAAAGGGGUUUGGGGCUGCUUUUUUCCUUUGGUUGGGGUUUUUUUGGGGCUCUUCUCUGCAUAGAUUUUGCAUCUGCAGUUUUCCAUGCAGGCUGGUAUAUCACAGCAUUCUGCUUAAAAGCAAACUUAUACAUCUUUUCCUUACAUAAUGUUUGUUAUUCAUAAUCUCAAGGGAACGACUUCAGUAGGAUAGGAGGAAUCUGUCUAUGAUUAGCUUCAAAACUCUUUGCAUGCCUUUCGAGGAGAGAAUAAAGAAAAUGCUUCACUGAGAUUUACAGUCAAAAUAAUCAGACAUAUGGAGACAAAAGAA